AUUCAUUACUAGUAGAGAUAUUUGAAAAACAGGAGAAAAAUCUGGAAACACAAAUUAAGUGAAAAGUCAGCGGAAAAGAAAUAUUCAGGCGAAUUGAGGAACGAAGAGUCGAAGAAAGGAAACAGUUGAAAUAUGGCAGAUUUGGAAGAUGAGUUUGACGUGGUCAAGUCUUUUAAACUGAUCGUGCACAAACUUCUGCUGGCUCUCGCAUUCUGUCUGUCUCUAUUCGGCCUUCUCCUCAUCGUCAUCCUGCGCAAUGGAGUCGAAAGGAAGAUUGACGAGAUGGUGUUGCGGAAAAGCUUGGAAAUGUUGUUCAGCGGAGAAGCGAUGAACGUUAUGCAGACUUAGUUGAAUUGUACACAACGCAAAAA